AGUGCAAAUGGCGAAUGCCUUGGCACCAGAUGUCGAUGAAGGACGUAGGAGGCUGCGAUAAGCCUCGGGGAGCUGUCAACCGAGCUGUGAUCCGAGGAUUUCCGAAUGGGGAAACCCAACUGGAGUUAUGUCCAGUUAUUUCUGCCUGAAUAUAUAGGGCAGAUAAAGGGAACGGGGGGAAGUGAAACAUCUCAGUACCCCCAGGAAGAGAAAACAACCGUGAUUCCGUUAGUAGUGGCGAGCGAAAGCGGAAGAGGCUAAACCAAUAGCAUGCCAACCCGGCAGGGGUUGUGUUAUUGGGGUCGUGGGACCAGUUAGGUCUAGCUGCCGCUAGAUCGAUGAGUCAGAAAAUCUAUAAGUAGGCGAAGGACGUGGGAAAGUCCGCCAAAGUGGGUGAUAGCCCCGUAGCCGAAACUUUUAGAUCUCAUUAUUGGUAUCCCAAGUAGUACCGAACUCGAGGAAUUUGGUAUGAAUCUGGCGGGACCACCCGCUAAGCCUAAAUAUUAUCUGGUGACCGAUAGCGAACUAGUACCGUGAGGGAAAGGUGAAAAGAACCCCGCAAGGGGAGUGAAAUAGAAUCUGAAACCGUUUGCAUACAAGCCGUAGGAGCGGGGCAACCUGUGACUGCGUGCCUUUUGAAGAAUGAGUCUACGAGUCAGUGUCAUGUUGCGAGGUUAACCCGUCGAGGGGAAGCCGUAGCGAAAGCGAGUCUGAAUAGGGCGAAUUAGUAGCAUGAUCUGGACCCGAAGCGAGGUGAUCUACGCAUGGCCAGGUUGAAGCGCGGGUAAGACCGCGUGGAGGACCGCACCCACGUAAGUUGAAAAUUGCGGGGAUGAGCUGUGUGUAGGGGUGAAAGGCCAAUCAAACUUCGUGAUAGCUGGUUCUCUCCGAAAUGCAUUUAGGUGCAGCGUUACGUGUUUCUUUCCGGAGGUAGAGCUACUGGAUGGUCGAGGGGCCCUACAAGGUUACCAACAUCAGCCAAACUCCGAAUGCCGGAAAGUGAGAACGUAGCAGUGAGACAGUGGGGGAUAAUCUUCAUUGUCGAGAGGGAAACAACCCAGAGUAGCAACUAAGGUCCCAAAGCGUGUGCUAAGUGGAAAAGGAUGUGAAGUCGCAUAGACAACCAGGAGGUUGGCUUAGAAGCAGCCACCCUUAAAAGAGUGCGUAAUAGCUCACUGGUCAAGUGAUUUCGCGCCGACAAUGUAACGGGGCUCAAGCACACCACCGAAGUUCUAUCAUUCACACACUAUCCCGGUCGUAAGAUCCAGGAGUGUGGAUGGGUAGGAGAGCGUCGUGUAGCUGGCGAAGCGGCGGAGGAAUCCAGCCGUGGAAGCUACACGAGUGAGAAUGUAGACAUGAGUAGCGAGAGUUGGGUGAGAAACCCAACCGCCGAAAGACCAAGGGUUCCUGGGCCAGGCUAAUCCGCCCAGGGUAAGUCGGGACCUAAGACGAGGCCGUCAGGCGUAGUCGAUGGACAACGGGUUGAUAUUCCCGUACCCGCGUAAGUUCGUCCCUGACGAACCUCCUAAUGCUAAGUUUUCGAAGCGUUAUUGGCGUAAGUCGAUGGCGUGGAGGGAACGACCCGGUGGAGUAGUAGUCAAGCAAUGGUGUGACACAGGAAGGUAGUCCAACCCGGGCGAUGGUUGUCCCGGGGUAAGAGUGUAGGGAGUUAUGUAGGCAAAUCCGCAUAACGUUUAACUGAGACUUGAUGCCGAGCCGAAUGGCGAAGUGGAUGAUCCUAUGCUGUCAAGAAAAGCAUCUAGCGAGAACUUAAGUGGCCCGUACCCGAAACCGACACAGGUGGUCAGGUAGAGAAUACCAAGGCGAUCGAGAGAAUCGUGGAUAAGGAACUCGGCAAAAUACCCCCGUAACUUCGGGAGAAGGGGGGCCAAUUUACGUGUAGGAGUUUUCCUCCGAAGCGUGAGUCGGCCGCAGAGACUAGGCUCAAGCGACUGUUUACCAAAAACACAGGUCCGUGCGAAGUUGCAAAACGAUGUAUACGGACUGACGCCUGCCCGGUGCUGGAAGGUUAAGGGGACUGGUUAGCCGCAAGGCGAAGCUGAGAACUUAAGCCCCAGUAAACGGCGGUGGUAACUAUAACCAUCCUAAGGUAGCGAAAUUCCUUGUCGGGUAAGUUCCGACCUGCACGAAUGGCGUAACGACUUGAGCGCUGUCUCAUCCGCGAACUCGGCGAAAUUGCAGUACGAGUAAAGAUGCUCGUUUAGCGCAGAAAGACGGAAAGACCCCGGGACCUUUACUAUACUUUGACAUUGGUACUCGGAACGGUUUGUGUAGCAUAGGUGGGAGCCAUUGAAGCUGGGACGCCAGUCCUGGUGGAGGCAACGUUGAAAUACCACUCUGAUCGUUUUGAGUUUCUAACCUCGGUCCGUGAUCCGGAUCAGGGACAGUGUCUGACGGGUAGUUUGACUGGGGCGGUCGCCUCCCAAAAAGUAACGGAGGCGCUCAAAGGUUCCCUCAGCCUGGUUGGCAAUCAGGUGUUGAGUGUAAGUGCACAAGGGAGCUUAACUGUGAGACAGACAUGUCGAGCAGGUACGAAAGUAGGAACUAGUGAUCCGGCGGUGGCUUGUGGAAGCGCCGUCGCUCAACGGAUAAAAGGUACCCCGGGGAUAACAGGCUGAUCUUGCCCAAGAGUCCAUAUCGACGGCAAGGUUUGGCACCUCGAUGUCGGCUCGUCGCAUCCUGGGGCUGGAGUAGGUCCCAAGGGUUGGGCUGUUCGCCCAUUAAAGCGGCACGCGAGCUGGGUUCAGAACGUCGUGAGACAGUUCGGUCCCUAUCUUCUGUGCUCGUAAGAAACUUGAGAAGGGCUGUCCCUAGUACGAGAGGACCGGGACGGACGAACCUCUGGUGUGUCGGUUGUAGCGCCAGCUGCACCGCCGAUUAGCUACGUUCGGAAGGGAUAACCGCUGAAAGCAUCUAAGCGGGAAGCUCGCUUCAAGAUUAGGUUUCU
rnacentral:rRNA from 1 species